UACGUAGGGGGCAAGCGUUAACCGGAAUUACUGGGCGUAAAGCGUGCGCAGGCGGUUAUGUAAGUCAGAUGUGAAAGGCCCGGGCUUAACCUGGGAACUGCAUUUGUGACUGCAUGGCUAGAGUUUGGCAGAGGGGGGUAGAAUUCCACGUGUAGCAGUGAAAUGCGUAGAUAUGUGGAGGAACACCGAUGGCGAAGGCAGCCCCCUGGGUCAAGACUGAUGCUCAUGCACGAAAGCGUGGGGAGCAAACAGG
rnacentral:rRNA from 1 species